rnacentral:piRNA from 1 species
GUUCUCAACGCUGAGAAUUGUAAGUUGUGU